rnacentral:rRNA from 1 species
UACGUAGGGUGCGAGCGUUAAUCGGAAUUACUGGGCGUAAAGCGUGCGCAGGCGGCGCGUUAAGACAGGUGUGAAAGCCCCGAGCUUAACUUGGGAAUUGCGCUUGUGACUGGCGUGCUGGAGUGUGGCAGAAGGAGGUGGAAUUCCACGUGUAGCAGUGAAAUGCGUAGAGAUGUGGAGGAACACCGAUGGCGAAGGCAGCCUCCUGGGCCAGCACUGACGCUCAUGCACGAAAGCGUGGGGAGCAAACAGG